CUAUGGUUUGAAAAAACAACCAUGGCAAAAGGAG
rnacentral:ncRNA from 1 species